rnacentral:rRNA from 1 species
AUUGAACGCUGGCGGCAUGCCUUACACAUGCAAGUCGAACGGUAACGCGGGGCAACCUGGCGACGAGUGGCGAACGGGUGAGUAAUGCAUCGGAACGUGCCCAGAAGUGGGGGAUAGCCCGGCGAAAGCCGGAUUAAUACCGCAUGAGACCUGAGGGUGAAAGCGGGGGAUCGCAAGACCUCGCGCUUUUGGAGCAGCCGAUGUCAGAUUAGCUAGUUGGUGGGGUAAAGGCCUACCAAGGCGACGAUCUGUAGCUGGUCUGAGAGGACGACCAGCCACACUGGGACUGAGACACGGCCCAGACUCCUACGGGAGGCAGCAGUGGGGAAUUUUGGACAACGGGCGCAAGCCUGAUCCAGCCAUGCCGCGUGCGGGAAGAAGGCCUUCGGGUUGUAAACCGCUUUUGUCAGGGAAGAAACGCUCUGGGCUAAUACCCUGGGGUAAUGACGGUACCUGAAGAAUAAGCACCGGCUAACUACGUG